CGCCUGCGCCUGCCCCGGCGUGAUAAGUGUGUGUGCCUGGGAAUGUGUGUGUGUGUGGUGGGGGUGGCCAGGGAGGGCUCUGUAUUUCUGAGUUUGUGCGUGGGAUGUCCACGUGGGAGUGUGCUUGUGAUCUUGACCUGGUGUGUGUCUCUCAUCUCUGUGUAUCACGGAGCGGGGCAGAUGCAUUUAUGGGUGUGACAGUGUGCCCUUGAUGGAGCUUGGAGAGCGCUCCCGUCCAGUUCAAGCUGGCUAGGACUGGAUCAGACCACUCACCCUAAAACUGGGCCUGCACAGAAGUCAGAUGAAUGACCUUUGGACAACAGAGGCCAAAAACUCCACCCUCAGAUCAUGCUAAGCACCUCCGUUGUUGAGCAUACAUCCUAGAAAGAAGCCAUGCCACUCAGAUGCACCUGCACAGAACCCUGAUUACCUCACCUUUCCCCCACCUCCAACCACCUUUCCCAAUGCCGAGACCCUGCUUCUUUAUCCCAUAAAUAUCCCCAGCCCUUCACCUUCAGGGAGGCAGAUCUGAGAUUUCUUCUCCUGUCUCCUCACUUGGCUGCCUUGUGAAUAAACCCUUUCUCUGCUGCAAA